UACGUAGGGGGCAAGCGUUGUCCGGAUUUAUUGGGCGUAAAGAGCUCGUAGGCGGCUUGUCGCGUCGACUGUGAAAUCCCGCGGCUCAACUGCGGGUCUGCAGUCGAUACGGGCAGGCUAGAGUUCGGUAGGGGAGACUGGAAUUCCUGGUGUAGCGGUGAAAUGCGCAGAUAUCAGGAGGAACACCGAUGGCGAAGGCAGAUCUCUGGGCCGUAACUGACGCUGAGGAGCGAAAGCAUGGGGGAGCGAACAGG
rnacentral:rRNA from 1 species